UACGGGGGGGGCAAGCGUUGUUCGGAAUUACUGGGCGUAAAGGGCUCGUAGGCGGCCAACUAAGUCAUACGUGAAAUCCCUCGGCUUAACCGGGGAACUGCGUCUGAUACUGGAUGGCUUGAGUGUGGGAGAGGGAUGCGGAAUUCCAGGUGUAGCGGUGAAAUGCGUAGAUAUCUGGAGGAACACCGGUGGCGAAAGCAGCGCGCUGGACCUCUACUGACGCUGAGGCGCGAAAGCCAGGGGAGCAAACGGG
rnacentral:rRNA from 1 species